rnacentral:rRNA from 1 species
UUUAACAAAAACAUGUCCUUUUGAGUUUAAUUUAAGGUCGGGCCUGCCCCCUGAUGAACGUUAAAGGGCCGCGGUAUUUUGACCGUGCAAAGGUAGCAUAAUCAUUAGUCUUUUAAUUGAAGGCUGGAAUGAAUGGUUUGACGAAAUAUUAACUGUCUCUUUAUAAUUAAUAAAAUUUAACUUCUGAGUUAAAAGGCUUAGAUAAAUAUAAAAGACGAGAAGACCCUAUAGAUCUUUAUACAUGGAUAUAUUGAUUUUGUUUAGAUGUAAUUUUUAUGAGUAUAUCAUUGUAUUUUGUUGGGGUGACAUGAAGAUAAAAUUAACUCUUCAUUAUUAAUACAUUGAUUUAUGUAUAAUUGAUCCGUUAUUAACGAUUAUAAGAUAAAGUUACCUUAGGGAUAACAGCGUAAUUUUUUUUGAGAGUUCUUAUCGACAAAAAAGAUUGCGACCUCGA